rnacentral:rRNA from 1 species
UGGGGAAUAUUGCGCAAUGGGGGGAACCCUGACGCAGCCAUGCCGCGUGAAUGAAGAAGGCCUUCGGGUUGUAAAGUUCUUUCGGUAUUGAGGAAGGUUGAUGUGUUAAUAGCACAUCGAAUUGACGUUAAAUACAGAAGAAGCACCGGCUAACUCCGUGCCAGCAGCCGCGGUAAUACGGAGGGUGCGAGCGUUAAUCGGAAUAACUGGGCGUAAAGGGCACGCAGGCGGUUAUUUAAGUGAGGUGUGAAGGCCCUGGGCUUAACCUAGGAAUUGCAUUUCAGACUGGGUAACUAGAGUACUUUAGGGAGGGGUAGAAUUCCACGUGUAGCGGUGAAAUGCGUAGAGAUGUGGAGGAAUACCGAAGGCGAAGGCAGCCCCUUGGGAAUGUACUGACGCUCAUGUGCGGAAGCGUGGGGAGCAAACAGGAUUAGAUACCCUGGUAGUCCACGCUGUAAACGCUGUCGAUUUGGGGGUUGGGGUUUAACUCUGGCGCCCGUAGCUAACGUGAUAAAUCGACCGCCUGGGGAGUACGGCCGCAAGGUUA